UUUCCGCCAGAGAACUACAAGUGAAAAACUUAAAACUCAAAGGACUUGACGGUGUCCCAAAUCGACCUAGAGGAGCCUGUCCUAUAAUCGAUACCCCCCGUUCCACCCAACCUCAACUAGCACAUAACAGCCUAUAUACCGCCGUCGAUCAGCCUACCCUAUGAAGGUUUAACAGUAGACACAAAAGCCUUAACCGCUAAUACGUCAGGUCAAGGUGUAGCUUAUGCUGAGGAAGAGAUUGGCUACAUUUUUUAUUUUAAAAAAUACGAAAAGCACUAUGAAACCGCGCUUGAAGGUGAAUUUAGUAGUAAAAUAAAUAAGAGAAUUUAUUUUAACAACGCUCUGGGACGCGUACACACCGCCC
rnacentral:rRNA from 1 species